UUGAAACCAUGUUUCCUCUUUGAGGAAAGCUCUUGCAAGCAUCAAGAGAUUUUGCUCUGAAUCUCCCUAAUAUCUCUUCUUAUUGAAGAUUGCUGCUUGAAAAUGGAUGAGGUUGAAAUUCUCCAAGGAGAGGACUGAUAAUUGGUGCUUGAGAUUGCUUACUGCCAGACUAGUGGUGCAUGUGUUUGCAAAGGAAUUUAUCCCCCUCUUCUGAAGCAAGCAGGGAAAACUACUUUUGGAUUGUGGGGAAAAGGCUUAAGACCACAACCUGGAAAACAGCCAGCAGGUGAAAAGCUGCAGAUGCUGACAGCACACACAAAGACAUCUCCACAGGGGGUUUUCUUCGAGGAGCUGUGAUAAGGCCUGUUGUGUAUUUUGGACAUGAAGGGCUAGAACCUGGUGCAGCCAUCAGACACUGCAUCAUGUUCCAGGAGGGGAGGACGUCGUCACUGAUCACAGGCACACAGAGACAACAGCCACAUCUGCCUGCUCCAUCGUGGGUUCCCAGAGAUGGAGUUUACGUGUAUGUUCCCAGAGCUCCACAGCCAGAAUAAUAAAACUUCCCUACACAUGCUAUUAUUUUUAUCAUAGGAUCAUAGGAAAAGGGAGCAGAGCUAUUUAGGUGACAUCUGAUCCCCAGGUACACAUACUUGACCCACAGGAGGAGCAGCAAACACAUAUACACAAUGAAUACAAUGAAGAAAAAUCCUCCUCUUGAGCAGUGCGCACAUUUCUCACUGUUAAUCUCAAACCUACAAAUAGCAGCA
rnacentral:lncRNA from 1 species